UACGUAGGGUGCAAGCGUUAAUCGGAAUUACUGGGCGUAAAGCGUGCGCAGGCGGCUUUGCAAGACAGAUGUGAAAUCCCCGGGCUUAACCUGGGAACUGCAUUUGUGACUGCAUGGCUGGAGUGCGGCAGAGGGGGAUGGAAUUCCGCGCGUAGCAGUGAAAUGCGUAGAUAUGCGGAGGAACACCGAUGGCGAAGGCAAUCCCCUGGGCCUGCACUGACGCUCAUGCACGAAAGCGUGGGGAGCAAACAGG
rnacentral:rRNA from 1 species